rnacentral:rRNA from 1 species
GAUGAACGCUGGCGGCGUGCCUAAUACAUGCAAGUCGAGCGAACAGACGAGGAGCUUGCUCCUCUGACGUUAGCGGCGGACGGGUGAGUAACACGUGGAUAACCUACCUAUAAGACUGGGAUAACUUCGGGAAACCGGAGCUAAUACCGGAUAAUAUAUUGAACCGCAUGGUUCAAUAGUGAAAGACGGUUUUGCUGUCACUUAUAGAUGGAUCCGCGCCGCAUUAGCUAGUUGGUAAGGUAACGGCUUACCAAGGCAACGAUGCGUAGCCGACCUGAGAGGGUGAUCAGCCACACUGGAACUGAGACACGGUCCAGACUCCUACGGGAGGCAGCAGUAGGGAAUCUUCCGCAAUGGGCGAAAGCUUGACGGAGCAACGCCGCGUGAGUGAUGAAGGUCUUCGGAUCGUAAAACUCUGUUAUUAGGGAAGAACAAAUGUGUAAGUAACUAUGCACGUCUUGACGGUACCUAAUCAGAAAGCCACGGCUGACUACGUG